rnacentral:rRNA from 1 species
GACGAACGCUGGCGGCGUGCUUAACACAUGCAAGUCGAACGGAAAGGCCCUGCUUUUGUGGGGUGCUCGAGUGGCGAACGGGUGAGUAACACGUGAGUAACCUGCCCUUGACUUUGGGAUAACUUCAGGAAACUGGGGCUAAUACCGGAUAGGAGCUCCUGCUGCAUGGUGGGGGUUGGAAAGUUUCGGCUGUUGGGGAUGGACUCGCGGCUUAUCAGCUUGUUGGUGGGGUAGUGGCUUACCAAGGCUUUGACGGGUAGCCGGCCUGGGAGGGUGACCGGCCACAUUGGGACUGAGAUACGGCCCAGACUCCUACGGGAGGCAGCAGUGGGGAAUAUUGCACAAUGGGCGGAAGCCUGAUGAAGAAACGCCGCGUGCGGGAUGACGGCCUUCGGGUUAUAAACCGCUUUCGCCUGUGACGAAGCGUGAGUGACGGUAAUGGGUAAAGAAGCACCGGCUAACUACGUG